ACACUGGCUCUCGCAAGGAACCUCUAUCCAGACACUGAAUUAGAUCCAGGCCUCCUUAUCUUUAGCAAGGUGGCUAUACCCUAUGCCCUCAGAGUACCCUAUGCUAGAGAAAAGUAACACAUGCUAGACAAUAGCCAACAGCCAUGCAACAGGUGUCAGUGUGAAGGGUACUGUACACUUAAUUUGAUUUAAUAUUUGUAUUCUGCUUUUCCAACAACAAAUGUUGAGCUCAAAGCUGCUCACAAUAAUCACAAUAGCAUUAAAGAGCAAGAAGCAUUGCAAUCUCUAUAAUAUCAAACACAGUCAUAUAUAAAGCAAACAACAACAGUUGUAUGUUCAUAGGGCUCUGUUCAUGGGGAUGAGAAUCCUGAUAAGCCAUACUUCAUCUCCGAAGUAUUCCCAUACAUUUGCAUUCAUAUAGGACACCCUUCCCGCUUCACUUGGGCAGACACAGAUUGUGUGCCAGCUAGGGGCAUGGCCAGCACAUACAGUGGUAUCUAGGGGGUAGGGCUAGCUGGGUGCAUUCCCAGAAACUCUGCUACAUGUUCAGUACUCUUGGGUACCAAACACCUGAACAGGGCUAAAGGCGCCCUCUAAUGUCCUCCUUCCCAAAGAUAAGCUACUGUUUCUUCUUUCUUCCCAUUUUCUACACAGUCACACAAGAUGAAAAACACUGAAUUUCUGCCACCACCUCCCCCGAUUCUGUUGGUAUUAAAGUAUGGGUAUGUACCGUGGAGAGAUGCUUUAACUAAUCUCUAAACUUAAUCCUUCAAUGUAAUGAAAAAUAGAAUAGUUUCAGCACUAUUUAGUUUUCUUAGUCCUGGCUGAUGAGUAACUGCAAAAACUGGCACCCACAUACGCUUUUAAAUCUGUCUUUUGUCGGGUAGAAAAUGGACAACACAUAGAAGCUUUGAAGUCUCUCUUCUUCCCACUCAUCAGAACACUUACAAUCAGAGCAGAGAAGUGGGAAAGCUUUAGCUCCUCUUAUGUUGAAUCUAAUACAAUGUCUGCAAAGUUCUUGGCUUAAGCUAGGAAACACAACCAGCUAUUUUUUGUUUAUUGUCAGGCAACAAGAGCUUGAAGGGGGCUUUUGUUCUGUUACUUACUUGCUUCAUAACAAAUUAAAGUUGUGCCAGUGCAAAGUCUUUUUCACACUCCUACCUGGGCGUUUGGUACUAGCAGCAGGAGCAAUGUAGGUCCUAAAGAAAAGGAAGGAACAGAAAUGGGGACUAUUUUCUGGAAGGGUAGGACACAAGUUUAACAAGUUAGUGAAUAAAGAAGAUUCAUAGCCUUCUGUAGUCUUCACUCUCUGCGCUGAUCUUAAGACCAUUAGCUAGGAUUUAUUCAAUUAUGUGUUUGUGUUCUUUAUCUUGUAUUUUUGAGUUCUGACCCGCUCUAGGUUCAAUGGAUGAAGGGUGGUGUGUGUGUGUGUGUACACACACACACACCAGUGGGGGUAUAUGAUCUUAGUGGGGUAACAGAAAAUCGAAUGAAUUUAGAAUGAGGAGCACUGAUUUUAUAAUAUUUGAGGAACACUGGCUUUCCAUACAGAUUUCAUAUAACAGAAAGUGUUGGAAAGAAGCCCAAAAAAUAGAAGCCAUGCAUGAUUUUGGAAAGCUCCUCCAGCCAUAGGAUAAAUAAAUUCUUGUUUCAUUCACAGAUAAAGCAAAUCCAACGAAACAGUCUUAGACUAAUCCAUGGAAUUAUCAGUCACCUAAUCCAUCAAACAGCACCUCUUCCAAAUUUGUGAAAUUGCCUGAAUUAAAUGCAAUGUUAGCCUAAUUCAUGAAAUUGGCCAUGCCGGUCAUAGCUGUUAGACAAAGCACCACAGAUUAGUAGAGUAGCUCUUGAGAGCCAGCCACAGCUCACUUGGUACCAUUCAUUCACAUCUGACUUUAUAUCCCUGGUGAGCUACUGGGUAUAUGUUAUAAAACAUCAAAAUUUCUAAAAGGUAGGGAUCUAUUCCCCCCAAAAUAAAAGACAUCUUUUCUGAAGGCCACACCAGAGGCAUAGAAAAUAAUAAUAUGGGCACCCUGGCAGGUGCUCUGAAGCACAUUCUGGAGCAUCUAGGCUAGUAUGGAUGACAAAUACAUACCCAGUGUUUUAAACAGCCCAGCUGUGUUUGCAUACAGUUAACCAUGCUCACUUACUCUGUCCAUGCAUUUUUAAAUUUGUAAGUAACUGUAAACUCACAGUCCAAUGAGAAUUUUUUUAAAAAAAAAUAGUUAUGGCAGCUCUGCUAAUGGAGAUUGUGUGAGAGCACAAGGAAAAGAAUUGCUUCCAAUUUUCUAGGAUAUGUGCCAACCUAAGAGGGAGGGAUUUUAUAUUUUUUUUACAAAAAUAAUCAAUCACAGCCUCAUUCUUUAUUGCUGAGCAUUUAUCUUUUAACAGUAUGCUUCAUAAACAGCCCAAGAGGCAGACUUAAUGAGGGGAGCAUAGCCAACAUGGAUGGAAAUGUGAAUAUUAGGACAGAAAAGCUGGCAAGGGCAAUAGGCACCAGUGGCUGACCUUCAAAACAGCUGUGCUGUCAUUACAUACUAAUAAAUGGCAAUUUUGAUUUCUUCUGUGACUGAAGUCACCCGGGUGUGCCCCAGAGUAUGGGAGAGAACUUCUGAAUGCCACACCGGAAUGAAAGUUCUGCAGUGUCCCUGACCUCUCCUGAUCUGACCCACAUUUACUUAGAGCUAUGUCUCACUGAUUUCAAGUGCGCUAAAAUUUUCAGCCUAGCAUCAGCAUUGCUUAAUUAAGUUUUCUGGUUUAGCCUAGUCAGAUUAGUGGGCCAUAAUAAAAGGACAAUGUGGAAUACUAUAUAAAUCAGCAACCAUUGCUACUACUUAUACUUUACAUUAUGCCAGCAGGGAGCGCCCGGCACUGCCUGGGGAUGUUUAGAAACAAAACAAGAAUGUAAUUUUUAAAUGGAUAACGUACCGUAUUUUUCCAUCUAUAAGAUGCCCCCAUGUAUAAGACACCCCCUAUUUUGGGGGAUUCAAAUUUAAGAAAAUGGGGGGAGAUGGCCCCAUGUAUAAGAUACCCCCUAAUUUUUGACAUUAUUUUUAGGGGGGGAACCUAGUCUUUUACACGGAAAAAUACAGUAAUUUGUGAGUUUUGACCCAUCACACCAAAAAUCAGGUGAAGUCAUGCUAAAGUCAUGUUUCGAUCCACCAUUUUGAUUCAAAAUUCCAAGUGAUGUCUGAAUGCAUAGAGGGAAAAUGGACAACCCAUUUUCCAAAAUAUAUAGUAGAUAAAACAGUGAGAAGAGUUUCUGUUAUCCCAUUUUAUAAGUAAAGAACUGAGGCUAUUGUUACACUUAUUUAAAAAUGUGGCCAAAAUUGUCUUGUCAAAUGCCAUUCAGCGAGUCCCUAGCAGAUAUGUGGGUAUGAUUUGAAUCCAGUUCUCUCAUAUCAAAAUCCAACUUGCCUUCCACUGGAUAGUCCAACUUCACUAUCCAUAGACAACUACCAAGAUCUAACUUCCUUCCUUCCUUCUACUAUAUAUUUUGGAAAGUUGUUUGUUCACUGUGUAUUUGGACACCUCUUCAGGUAUUACAAUCAAAUUUUGUGUGAUUGUUCCUGAGAUAAAGGAGUAAGUUUUCCUCUUUGCUUGGUUACAACUGGACACCACUCUGAAUCAAGUUGGCAGACUGAAUUGUUCAAGACUGCACUGAGUUUAAAACUGCACCAAUGGUUUGGUUUCUUAGAAAUCUCAAGCUGUGUCAGGUAUGAAGCUACUACUGUGAUGCAUCUAGGGCAAGAUUUUUCCAAUGAAUAUACAGAUGAUUUCAGUUACCUUUUAAAACACUUCAUACAUUUAAGGCCCAACUGGAUACCCAAAUUCUUUUGCUAUAUCUUUGAGAAUAUGUAAGAAUAGGUUUCUUCCCAUCGAAAAAAAAUCUGAAAAUGGUACAAUUGUUUGGCUGGAAUAUUUGAUCAAGACAUAGGAAGUUGUCUUAUACAGAAUCAGAGCAUUGUUCCAUCUACCUCAUUAUGGCUGACAUUGAUUGACAGCAGCUCUCCAAGGUUUCAGGCAGGAGUCUUUCUAAGCACAGGAACGGCACCUGGGAUCCUUUGCAUACAAAGUGUAUGCUCUGCCAUUGAACUACAGCCCUUCUGCUAUCAUCUUCAUUAGUGCCACAGAUAUAGUAGACAACAGUAGUGAAAUGUCCUAUCCUGUAGUUAAGCAUCCUUCUAACUUCAUAUUUUGUAACUAAAACUUCUGACAGAUUAAUAGUUGCUUUAAAAUAUGUUCAGAAGUUGUAAUACAAGACUUAGCGUUUGUGUUUAGUAAAGGAUAUUUUAAAAGAUAUAAAAGACAGAACUAUAUCCAUUAACUUCACGUAUCAAUUGGAUGACCUGUGAUUAAGUAACAGUAGGGAAUCCUAAUGAUCCCCAGUGAGACUUGUGGUAGUGCAGAGCUCUCAUUUUCUACUUUGCGAUGUGGAAAUGACAAGUAAACAUGAAUGAAGAUGAGGCAAAUUACGAUUCAUUGCAGAGCAGAUCCAACAAUUUCUCUAAUAAGAGGUUAUACCACAAAUUUCCAGGGAAAAGAGAUCAGCCGGAAAACUGGAGAGAUGGAAUCUAUACAGACAUUUUCUAUAACCAUCUGAAUAAGUCUUUUCUGUCCCUAUAGUAGGUUAUUUGCAUAAGAAAUAUGUAUUGUAUUACAGGAGAAUAGUGGCUAUGUUUAGGGAUGUCAACUCCAUAGUGUGUGUUCAUAUAUUAAGACUGCUGGUGGUUUCCCCACUUAAAGCAGGGCUCAGGAACCUGUAGCCCUCCAGAUGUUGUUGGACUCCAAGUCCCGUUAGCCUUAGCAGGAUGGCCAGAGGUCAGGGGUGAUGGAAACAGUAGUCCAACAACACCUGGACCACCACAUGUUCCCCAACCCUGACGUCUAGGAUCUCUAGUUCUCUAGAGGUGGAACUUCUGCCUGGAACCUGAAGGGUAGUUUUUAGUCAGCACAGAUUAGCUGUAGGGAGCACUAUAACAGGUACUGGCUACUAGGUGAUUCAUUCAUCCAGUUUGCCUACCGCUCGGCAGAUAUAAAAAAAGUUUAAACUUGCCAUCACAAUUGUUCAGCACCAUUUGCUGUUCUUUUUGAUUUAUAUAUAAAUCAUUUUUAUUAGUUCUCCAAUAGGAACAUCCAGUUAACAAAUCCAUCAAAUUAUAAUCCAAUU
rnacentral:lncRNA from 1 species